rnacentral:RNase_P_RNA from 1 species
GAAGUAUACCGAAUAGUCGCAUGGGAAACCAUGAGGAAAGUCCGAGCUCCAUAGGGCAAGGGUGCUAGGUAACACCUAGUGGAGGCGACUCCAAGGAAAGUGCAACAGAGAGAUACCGCCAGUAAUGGUAAGGGUGGAAAGGUGAGGUAAGAGCUUACCAGCAGCCGGGUGAUCGGCUGGCUAUGUAAACCCCACUCGGAGCAAGACCAAGUAGGAUCAAGAAAGGGGGCUGCCCGUCCCUAUCCGUUGGUAGGUCGCUUGAGCUUCUUGGUGACAAGAAGCCUAGAUAGAUGGCUAUUCAAGACAGAACUCGGCUUAUAGGUAUACUUUUUUU